GUGGCGUUGAGCUUGCUGUGCAGGCUGAGGGCGCUGGGGUUAAGGAGCUUCUGGUCCCGGGUGAUGUUGCCCAGGGAGGCACCCAGGCGUCUAGAAUAGUCAUGACAGCCAGGAGUAAUGGUAGUGUGAGCACCCUUGCUGGAGAGCAAGAUCUGGACCAGGCAAGUGGACAUCAUUAUCACCAGCAUUACCAUACGGGGACAGAAGGGAAAACGCAGCAGCUUGUCCCAGCUGGUGCGCAUGCUUAUGCUUGCUUCUACCUGAGCUUCCUUCUACUGGCUCAGCUCUUCCUGGGGACCCCUCCAAGCCAGCGCUCCCAGCGCACUGUCCCCCAACACACGGUGCCUGCAGUCCCUGCUUCCCCCGGCCUCCCUCUCGAUCCCCACAGUGGAGCAGCGCCAGGACUAGAAGUGCUGGGGCCCCCUAUACCCCCUAGUCUGCCCUCACUGACUGGGCACCCCGGGAAAGCACGAGGAGGAAGCCCCCUCCCCACUCUCUCCUUCCAGCUCCAAAAGGGCCCCCUCGGCUGGCUGGGUCAGGGAGCACCUGCUGACACGUGUGAGCCCCGCCGCCAGCACCCCACUGGGUGACCCAGGACAACUCACAUAGAGAAUGAAGAGGGCAUUGGCGCUGCCGUUGAGCUGCGCCAGCUGGUUCCUGA